GUGUUGCUGCCGUUUGAUUGUCUGAUUGGAUAAUUGCACGAAUGUGCAGGGGUAUAUAUAUAUAUUAUUGUAAUAAUUUGAGAUACUGGAUUUUUGAUUUCCAUGAGCUGUAAGCCAUAAUCAUCAAAAUUAAAACAAAAAAAGGCUUGAAAUAUUUCAGUCUAUGUGGAUUGAAUGAAUGAAUGUAAAAUAUAUGAAAGUUUCACUUUUUGAAUUAAAUUACGGGGAAAAAAUUACUUUACCUUGAUAUUCUAAUUUUUUUUAGAUACACCUGUAUAGAUCAGAUAAUGCAGCGAUUGUGAUUGGACAAAACUGUUAAAUAAUCUUUCUAUUGGGUUUUGGCAUUUUACUACUACAGACUAAGAGGAGACAUGCUAUCAAUUCAAUUUAUAAUUUACCAUUUUACAAUGUGCCUCUAGUAUCUAUCUUUAUUCUUCUUCUGAUGUUCUGCCUGUACUGCCUCUUAUCUUGCACUUUAUGUAGGCACUGUGCAGAGCUUCUGUAUUGUCUCAGUUAUUAUAUGAUAUGAUAUGAUAUGAUAUUACAUGACAGUAAAAAAUAUAUAUAUUUGACGAUUUCUUUUUUUAGCACUCAUAAAACCUGAAUACAAUGUAUAAUAUUGUGAAUAUUUACAGUACCGAUACAAAAUGUCAACCACCUUGCUUAAAAUACAUUAUACAUAUAUCUAGUGGUAUGUAUUUAUAUAAAUAUUAAAAUAAAUAUCCCUAUAACUCUUUUUAAAAUAAAUCAAGUGUGAAAGUACAACCCCAAUUCCGAAAAAGUUGGGACAGUAUGUAAAAUGCUGAUAAAAAAUGAAGAGGAGUGAUUUGCAAAUGUACUUUGACUUGUAUUUAAACAAAAACAUAUAUAUAUAAAGACAAGGUAUUUCAUGUUUUAACUAAUCAACUGCAUAGUUGUUGUUUUUUUCUUUGAAGAUAAGCGUUUGUUUUGAAAUUGAUGCGUGCAACACAUUCCCAAAAAGUUGGAAUAGGUGCAAUUUAAGACUAAUUUGGAUGUGACAAGUUGAAAUAACGUGAUAUGAAACAGGUGAGGCAAUCGUUUAAUCAUAGUAUAUAAGCAGCCGCCAAAAAGGGCCUAGUCCUUCAAGAGUAAGGAUGGGUUGAGGCUCACCAAUUUGCUAAUAGGUGUAGCAGCAAAUAAUCCAACACUUUAAGAACAACAUUCCCCAAAGACAAAUCGAUAGGAUUUUGGGCAUUUCACCUUCUACAUUGCACAAUAUAAUUAAAAGAUUCAAGGAAUUCAAUCAAAUCUCGGUGCGUAAGGCCAAGGAGGAAAAGGACCAUUCAAGCUGUUAUCAGUGUCAAGUCCAAAAUCCAGUGUCUGUCAUGGUAUGGAGGUCUGUCAGUGCCCAUGGCAUGAGUAACUUGUAUCUGUAAGGGCACCAUUAAUGCAGAAAGAUAUGUGUAACGGGUAUGGAAAACAUUCCAUAAAUUUAAUGUGUAGAAUUACACAAAAAGCAUGUGUACCUGAAUUGGCUGUUUGAGUAUUUUUCCUUUUAACUGCCAUGAUGUCAUUGGUUUGUGUAAUUUCCUGUUUUGGCUCCUCCACUUCCCUUUUGCGUUAUGGUUGAAUGGGAGAGGUAGGUUUGGUUUUCAGUUCGUGGUAAUUUUGUUUAAUCUUUAUUUAAAUCAUAAUUUUGUACAAUUGUAUACCCAUUUUAGUUUGUGUGUAUAGUGUUAUUUUAUUUCUGUGUGAUUAUUUUUGUUGUUUUACCCUUCUUUUGAGUUUUUUUUGUUUGUUUCAACAUGUGCCCUUUCGCAUGAUGGUUGAAUGGGAGAGAAUAAACAAAGAGUCGACCCAGUUGCUGUCCGACUACAUUUUUUCUGGAUUAAAUAAAACACACAACGCAGACUACAACCAGUUACACUUGUUGCCGUGACGCAGAAAGGGAAGAGGGGGAGCCAAAACAGGAAAUUACACAAACCAAUGACCUCAAGACAACCAAAAGGGAAAGCACUCACACAAACAGUCACACCAGGUACACAUCUCCUUUUUGUGUAAUUCUACACGUUAAAUUUCUGGAAUGUUUUCCAUACCCGUUACAUAUGUACACAUUUUUGAGCAACAUAUGCUGCCAUUCAGAGAAGGACAACGGCAAACCACAUUCUGCCCGGAUUACAAGCACAUGGUUGUGUAAGCAGAGAGUGCGGGUGCUAGCAUGGCCUGCCUAGAGUCCUGACCUGUCUCCGAUUGAGAAUGUGGGGUGCAUUAUGAAGCACAAAAUAAGGCAAUGUAGGCCCUGUACAGUUGCACAGCUGAAGAAAUGCAUAAUGGAUGAAUGGGGGAAAUUCCAUUUGCUAAACUUAACCAACUGGUGUCUUCAGUGCCUAAAAGAUCAAUAAGUGUUAAAAGACAAGGUGAUGUUACAGUGUUAAACAGUCAACUGUCCCAACUUCUUUGGUGUGUUGCAGUCAGCAAAUUUGAAAUGAGUGUAUAUUUUCAAAUAUAAAUUAAAUUCACAAAAUAAAAUAUCAAAUAAUGUGUCUUCAAUACAGUAUCGGGUGCAGUGAAUUUUCAAAAAACUCUAUUGGGUUUCUUUUUUUUGCAUUUUCCAUACUGUCCCAACUUUUUUGGAAUUGGGG
ensembl:lncRNA